rnacentral:rRNA from 1 species
UUGGGNGGGGAGUGGCAGCUAUCUGCAGUCGAAGAAUAACAUACUUAGAUGGCAGACGGGUGAGUAACAUGUGGGUAUCUUCCCUUUGGUGAGGAAUAACACGAGGAAACUUGUGCUAAUACCUCAUAAGUCUUUACGGAGAAAGCUUUAUGCGCCAAUGGAUGAGCCCGCACUUGAUUAGUUUGUUGGUGGGGUAAUGGCCUACCAAGACUUUGAUCAAUAGCUGAUCUGAAAGGAUGAUCAGCCACAUUGGGACUGAGACACGGCCCAAACUCCUACGGGAGGCAGCAGUAGGGAAUAUUGCACAAUGGAGGAAACUCUGAUGCAGCGAUGCCGCGUGAGUGAAGAAGGCCUUUGGGUUGUAAAGCUCUUUCGUCGGGGAAGAAAAUGACGGUACCCGAAUAAGAAGGUCCGGCUAACUUCGUGCCAGCAGCCGCGGUAAUACGAAGGGACCUAGCGUAGUUCGGAAUUACUGGGCUUAAAGAGUUCGUAGGUGGUUAAAAAAGUUGGUUGUGAAAUCCCGAAGCUUAACUUCGGAACUGCAAUCAAAACUUUUUAGCUAGAGUAUGAUAGAGGAAAGCAGAAUUUCUAGUGUAGAGGUGAAAUUCGUAGAUAUUAGAAAGAAUACCAAUUGCGAAGGCAGCUUUCUGGAUCAUUACUGACGCUGAGGAACGAAAGCAUGGGUAGCGAAGAGGAUUAGAUACCCUCGUAGUCCAUGCCGUAAACGAUGUGUGUUAGACGUUGGAAAUUUAUUUUCAGUGUCACAGCGAAAGCAGUAAACACACCGCCUGGGGAGUACGACCGCAAGGUUAAAACUCAAAUGAAUUGACGGGGACCCGCACAAGU